GACGGAGGAUGCAAGCGUUAUCCGGAAUUAUUGGGCGUAAAGCGUCCGCAGGUGGCUGUUCAAGUCUGCUGUCAAAGCGCAGAGCUUAACUCUGUACAGGCGGUGGAAACUGAAGAGCUAGAGUAUGGUAGGGGUAGAGGGAAUUCCCGGUUUAGCGGUGAAAUGCGUAGAUAUCGGGAAGAACACCAGUGGCGAAAGCGCUCUACUGGGCCAUAACUGACACUGAGGGACGAAAGCUAGGGGAGCGAAAGGG
rnacentral:rRNA from 1 species